rnacentral:rRNA from 1 species
CGUGUAGGCGGCUGGAUCAGUCAGAUGUGAAAUCCCUGGGCUUAACCCAGGACGUGCAUUUGAAACUGUCCGGCUGGAGUAGGGGAGAGGAAAGUGGAAUUCCUGGUGUAGAGGUGAAAUUCGUAGAUAUCAGGAGGAACACCGGUGGCGAAGGCGACUUUCUGGCCCUAUACUGACGCUGAGACGCGAGAGCGUGGGUAGCAAACAG